CUGGAAAUUCCGGAAAUAGAUUUUGAGGGUCGGAAAGAACAAAUUUUGUGCUCCCUAGACGAACAAUUUAGAAGAGGCACAACUCUCUGUGUCUCUUGCAUACGCAUUCAGCUGGUAUAAAUUCUACCAUACUAGAGACAAUACAUCUGUCAAAGAGCACGCAGAGAAAUCGAGGGAGUACUUACAGCAACCAAGAAGAGCUGCUUCAAAAGAUCCGAAGCCAGGUCCUCAUCGUAAAGAGGAGCUUGUCUGACAGCUGGCACUGCUUUUGAUGUUUCCCACAGUUCACGCCAUAAAUUGCCUAACCACCAGGUGGAAAAUAGUCUGCAGGUUAGGAUCGAAGAAGCAAACCCUCUUUGUUGCCAAAUGGGAAGAUAAACAAGCUCAUUGCAACGUUUGUUGGCAUGAAAAGGUUUUUCAAUCAUGGAAGUGCCACAGUGAACUGAAUUAAGAUACUUCUCUCUGUCUAAUCCUUUUACAUUAAACACUUUCCCAUCUUUUUCCAUGUUCAUAAAAUACUCAGAUAAUGGCAGUAGUUAGAGAAAUGCCUCGGACAUAAUUUACUGAAUAUUCACAGAGAAAUAUAUUUCUAAUCAUAAGAAAAGAAGCAACAGAAAAGAAGCAUAUUCAAGUUCUGGGAGUUAUUCUAUGUGAAAAAGAAAGAUUCAGUCCUUCAUUUGUUUAUAGAUUUAGAUGGUGUGCAGAUAAGCUUGUGUUUUAGUGCUUAAUGCAUAAGAGUUCAAUGGAAAUGGUCGGCAGUCA